rnacentral:rRNA from 1 species
UCCCCGAAAUGCUUUUUAGGAGCAGCGUAUAGUUAAGUGUAUAAGAGGUAGAGCUACUGGUUGGGCUAGGGGGAGUCACAUCCUACCAAACCCUAUCAAACUCCGAAUGCUUAUACAUGUUUCUAUGCAGUGAGGGUAUGGGUGCUAAGGUCCAUAUCCAAAAGGGAAAGAACCCAGAGCAUCAGCUAAGGUCCCCAAGUGUAUACUAAGUUGAGAAAAUGUGGUGUGAUUGCUUAGACAGCCAGGAUGUUGGCUUGGAAGCAGCCAUUCAUUUAAAGAGUGCGUAACAGCUCACUGGUCGAGCGAUCGCGCGCAGAUAAUGAUCGGGCAUCAAGUAUACCACCGAAGCUAUGCCUUGUACUUUGUACAGGGGUAGGGGAGCAUUCCAAUGGCGGCGAAGUUUUGUCGUAAGGCAUUGUGGAGCGAUUGGAAAAGAAAAUGUAGGCAUAAGUAACGAUAAUGAAGAUGAGAAAUCUUCACACCGCAAGACUAAGGUUUCCACAGCUAUGUUAAUCAACUGUGGGUUAGCCGGGACCUAACGCGUACCCGAAAGGGGAAGUGGAUGGAAAUUGGGUUAAUAUUCCCAAGCCAGUCAGGAAGUGACGGAGAGACGUGGCAGCUACGGGGUGACGGAAGUCCCCGUUGAGCCUAGAUGCUUGCAUCGAAGCGAAGUUGUAAAAUCUCUUCCAAGAAAAGCCCUGACAUAGCCCGUACCGUAAACCGACACAGGUAGUCGAGGAGAGUAUCCUAAGGUGCUCGAGUGAUCCGUGGUUAAGGAACUAGGCAAAUUAGCCCUGUAACUUCGGGAGAAAGGGCCCCCUCUUCGGAGGGGCGCAGUGAAAUGGCCCAGGCGACUGUUUAGCAAAAACACAGGACUAUGCUAAGUUGAAAGACGCAGUAUAUGGUCUGACACCUGCCCGGUGCUGGAAGGUUAAGUGGAGAUGUCAUCUUCGGAGAAGCAUUGAAAUGAAGCCCCAGUAAACGGCGGCCGUAACAAUAACGGUCCUAAGGUAGCGAAAU